rnacentral:RNase_P_RNA from 1 species
AGAGACGGCUAAACGAUCGCUGAUAACACUGAGUUAUUGGAGGAAAGUCCGGGCUCCGUAGGACAAAGUGCCAGGUAACUCCUGGGAAGUGCAAGCUUACGGCAAGUGCCACAGAGAAUAUACCGCCGUGUAAUUCGGUAAGGGUGAAAAGGUGCGGUAAGAGCGCACCGCGAUGGCUGGUAACAGCAUCGGCAUGGUAAACCCCACUUGGAGCAAGACCAAAUAGAGAUCAAAUGACGUGGUCCGUGUCUGAUCUGGGUAGGUCGCUAGAAGUAUUCUUAGAAAUACUCAAGAUGAAUGAUCGUUCUCGACAGAACCCGGCUUAUCGGCCGUCUCUCUUU